ACUCCUACGGGAGGCAGCAGUGGGGAAUAUUGCGCAAUGGGGGCAACCCUGACGCAGCGACGCCGCGUGCGGGACGGAGGCCUUCGGGUUGUAAACCGCUUUCAGCAGGGAAGAGGAAGAGACUGUACCUGCAGAAGAAGCCCCGGCUAACUACGUGCCAGCAGCCGCGGUAAUACGUAGGGGGCGAGCGUUGUCCGGAAUUAUUGGGCGUAAAGAGCUCGUAGGCGGUUUGUCGCGUCUGCCGUGAAAGUCCGGGGCUCAACCCCGGAUCUGCGGUGGGUACGGGCAGACUAGAGUGAUGUAGGGGAGACUGGAAUUCCUGGUGUAGCGGUGAAAUGCGCAGAUAUCAGGAGGAACACCGAUGGCGAAGGCAGGUCUCUGGGCAUUAACUGACGCUGAGGAGCGAAAGCAUGGGGAGCGAACAGGAUUAGAUACCCAAGUAGUCCAU
rnacentral:rRNA from 1 species